CCAAAACGGAAGCUUACACAUGCAGUCGAGGGGUAUUGGUUUUCGGACCAAGAGACCGGCGCACGGGUGCGUAACGCGUAUGCAAUCUACCUUUUGCAGAGGGAUAGCCCAGAGAAAUUUGGAUUAAUACCUCAUAGUAUAGCAGUUUCGCAUGAGACCACUAUUAAAGUCACAACGGCAAAAGAUGAGCAUGCGUCCCAUUAGCUAGUUGGUAAGGUAACGGCUUACCAAGGCAACGAUGGGUAGGGGUCCUGAGAGGGAGAUCCCCCACACUGGUACUGAGACACGGACCAGACUCCUACGGGAGGCAGCAGUGAGGAAUAUUGGACAAUGGGCGCAAGCCUGAUCCAGCCAUGCCGCGUGCAGGAUGACGGUCCUAUGGAUUGUAAACUGCUUUUGUACAGGAAGAAACACCUCUACGUGUAGAGAUUUGACGGUACUGUAAGAAUAAGGAUCGGCUAACUCCGUGCCAGCAGCCGCGGUAAUACGGAGGAUCCAAGCGUUAUCCGGAAUCAUUGGGUUUAAAGGGUCCGUAGGCGGUUUAGUAAGUCAGUGGUGAAAGCCCAUCGCUCAACGGUGGAACGGCCAUUGAUACUGCUAGACUUGAAUUAUUAGGAAGUAACUAGAAUAUGUAGUGUAGCGGUGAAAUGCUUAGAGAUUACAUGGAAUACCAAUUGCGAAGGCAGGUUACUACUAAUUGAUUGACGCUGAUGGACGAAAGCGUGGGUAGCGAACAGGAUUAGAUACCCUGGUAGUCCACGCCGUAAACGAUGGAUACUAGCUGUUGGGCGCAAGUUCAGUGGCUAAGCGAAAGUGAUAAGUAUCCCACCUGGGGAGUACGUUCGCAAGAAUGAAACUCAAAGGAAUUGACGGGGGCCCGCACAAGCGGUGGAGCAUGUGGUUUAAUUCGAUGAUACGCGAGGAACCUUACCAAGGCUUAAAUGUAGAUUGACCGGUUUGGAACA
rnacentral:rRNA from 1 species